rnacentral:lncRNA from 10 species
UCUGAUAAAAUGGUUGUUUCCCAGAUGGAGUUAGAAUUUUGUUUUAGUCAUCCACUCUAUGUGAAGGACUCUUGGUUGAUCCCAUUUGGAAUGCAAACUUUCCUUUUCCUUUUCAGAUUUCAGUGUGCCCUCACAAAGUAUAGCAUAUUUUUAAAUUGCAUACACAUCAGCAAGAAUAGAAAGGUAAGACAGGAAUGGGAAGAAUGACAAAUAUUUUACCUACCUUAUUUCAACGCAAUGAUUAUCUUCUGACAGGAGGAUAAGCCUCACAUGUAUACUUAAUAAUUUAUCAGAAUACUGAAUUUACUCACAACCUUAUGCUGACUAUGCCAGAAUGUUUUAUGGAAAUUCAUGGCAAAUAGCAGGAGAGAAUUAUUUUCCAUGCCAGAUACUAAAUUGAAUGAGUCAUUUUAUACAGCAAUGAUUGAAAGACUCAGAACAUAAGGCAGACAAAACCAAUAUGAUUUGUAUUAAAAAUAAAUUUUUCUUUCAUUUCACUCAAAAUAGUGUUCCCUCAGACUUCUACUAAUUAUUUCUUUUUCCUUUGUUUCUCAUAUCUGAUCUGUGAUGAUCACUUCUGUUAAGAGUGGCAGACACAUGGAGACUUACUCACUGUGGUGUUCUGUGGGAAUUUGGACAGAUGGAGCAAUCUUUCUCUGCUCUGUGAUGUGACUCAACAACAUGGAACUCAAAUAGUCUGGAGACAUCUUCAAUCUCAUAUCUGAAACUUGAUGUGUGCUGGCAGUUGGAACCUCAGCUAAAUUGCCAUCCCUAGCAACCACACCUAGCCAUUUCAUGUGGCCUUUCUGCAUGGACUAUUUUAAUUUUCCUCUCAGAAUGGUUGCUGGAUUCAAAGAAAAAUCAUCCUAAGGAAAAUGAAGUGGAACUUCAUGACUUUUUCAUGACACAAUCUCAGAAUUCAAAUGCAUCAUUUUUGCCAUAUAGUAUUGGCCAAAGCGCUCAGAAAAGCCCACAAGGUCAAGAAAGGGCCAAAGGGAUCCUCUUGAUAGGGACGUUGCAAGGUUCUAGAAGAGCUGUGGAACAAAUAAUGGAUAUUGUUUCAACAUCUUUGGAACAUAUAAUAUGUCCCAGAUAAUUAGAAGAAUGUACAUCAUACAAUUGUAUUCAAAUUAUUGUAAAAAAUUAAAUUCACCAGAUUCAUAUUUCAAUUUCUAGUAAAAUUUAAUUUAUUUGUGCUUGGAAAUCAUUAUUACUCCAUGAGUAAGGGAGACUCAGAAUAGAGUUAAGAGCUCACUCUGAUAAAGCAAAUGUGACUAAAAAUUUUGGAAGUGCCAUAUAUAUAGAUGAAUAUAUAUUCAUCUAUUAAUUGAUGAACAUUAAAAUAAAUGUAGAAUGGAUAUUAACCCAGAACAAAGAGGAUAAUAAACUCCUUCUCCUUCCCUUGUUUUGUCUUUUCUGGGUUUUGAAGAGAUUAAGGCAAUUAGAAGUUCUGUUGUAGGAGGUGACUACAUAAAGUUUGUUCUAGAUAAUUAUAAGGUAGCAAAUAAAUACGUAUAAUGACAUGUAUUCUCUACAUUUCCUUACAAAUUGCUCAGCUCAAAUCAAUACUCUAGUAAGGUAGGCAGUCAUUGAUUGCAUUUGUCCAGAUCAGAGUAAUACAUAAUGGUUAAAAAAAAAAACACACAAGAAAUUCUAAUAAUAUUUAAGCAUUGUGUGUAAACAUCUCUUAAUAUUGUAAUUAUUUAUUGGCAGGCCACGUUACGUUAUAGUCAUACUAUAGAGGUUUUGGUUAGCAUUCUAAACAUUGCUAUUUAUACUUUGAGUCAAAAGAAAUUGUUGAACUUGUCAGCUUUUUUUGCAUCAACAAUACAAUACAGCUUGACAGAUUCUUGGUAAAAAUGAGACUUCUUGAGGGUGGGUUGCAAAUGACCUAGUAGAUCAAAAUAGAAGAAGCAAAAAUGAUGAUUUUAUAAAGGACCUAUUUUUAUUGUGAAAUAAUUUAUGCACUUUAUUCUUGGUUUCUUUUAAUUCCCUUUAAUAAAAUAUGAUAAUAUCUACCCUCUUUAAUGCAUAUAUAUUUAGAAAUUUAAACUCUCACUAAUGGAGAUAUGCAAACUCUCACCAGUAUAAAUUGUUUAGGACUUACAUCCGUUACAAUUUAUCUGUAGGUUGGUUAAGAUUGAUUUGUGACUCUAUUGCUCUAAUUAAACAUUUUGAAUAUCAUCAUAUCUCAUUAUAGAUUUGUAUGACUGUUCUAUAUCUAUUUAUAUCUAUACCUAUACCUAUAUCUAUAUCUAUAUAACUACAAAGCUAUAUACACACACACACACAUAUGUGUGUGUAUAUGUUUUAAAUUAGAGACAGGGUCUCACACUGUUGCCCAGGCUGAACUGCAGUGGCAUGAUCAUAGUUCACUGUAACCUUCAACUACUAGGUGUAAGUAAUCCUCCUGCCUCAGCCUCCUGAGUAGGGUCUACAGGCAUGGGUACUACUGGCAAUGUCUACAGGCAUGCACCUCUGUGCCCAGUUGAUUUUUUUUUAAUUGUAGUUAUGGUGUCUCACGCUGUUGCCCAGGCUGGUCUUGAACUCCUGACCUCAAGUUAUCCUCCCACCUCAGCCUCCCAAAGUGCUGGGAUUACAAGCAUGAGCUACCACAGCUGAGCAGAUAUAUGUUAUUUAUAUUUAUAAAGUAUCCACUACUCGGAUCCAAAUGUAGCUCACUAUUACUUCCACCAUCUGUCAAAAUACUUGAAGAAAGAAGUCAAAGAUACACUCUCAAUGUAUGUGUUAUUCCAUAUGAAAAAGUCUCCUCUAUUUAGAAAAAAAAUUUCUCACAUUUUUUAUUCCCACAGUAACUUUCAAAAUAUAUACAUAUAUAUUU